UUUACACAUCAUCAUGACCAUGCAUUUAUCAGAUUUCUUGUGAGUUUUAGUCUGAAAAGUUUACCCCUUUUUUGUGAUCCUGUGUAGUUUAUAAAGCUCGGAAAACAGCGGUGAAGAUGACGAUCCAGUCCACAGCAAACCUGGAAGAUCCAGUCAUCAGUGAUAACCUACAGAAGCAGUUGCAUGCAGCACUCGCUGAGCAGGGUGUGAGUGACUUCCAGCUGACCUGGAAGAAACUGCCGGUGAAGAAGAAAGAGGAGAUGGCGAGUGAAGAUGACUGCUGACUCUGUGAGCACAAGUCAAGCAAGAAAGCUGCACCACAGCAUUGUUUGUAGAAAGAUGCUUUACUAGAUGUUGUUCAGUAAAUUGGUGUUUGAUUGUAUUUUGCUCCGUUUAGGCUCAAAGCUUGUACAGCAUUGAACUGAAAGAAAUUCAGCCUCAGCAUACAAGUGUUUUACUUAAUGUGUGUUUUGUGUGCACAAAGUUUGCAGCUUAUCUCAUUUAAAUAUUUAGUCUCCAUAUAAUGGCAGAACGUUUGACACAGUGUGAGUGGCUUCCAGAUAAUAGUGUGAUACAAUGACUUAAGUUAUAUAAGCAUAUUAAGUUCCAUUUAGUGUUUGCAUUAUUACUGAGUGUUACUUUCAUUACUUCUAUUUUUUCCAUCUUUACUGUACAUCCUCAUAAUAUUGCAAUAUAAAUCAGUCAGUAACUACUUUAAAAAAGAAUAGUUUAAGGGUGCAUGCUGUGAUAUUCAAUGUUUUUCUUACUGUAAACAGAUCUCAUAAAAAGACUCUUCUGCUAACUGAACACAUAUAGUUUGUGUCAUCAAAGCGGUAUAUGUCUCGUUCAAAACUGUAAUCCACAAAAAUGUAUCCACACUAUUUACAGAUAUUUUCUUCACUAUCAUUGUAGUUAUUUUAACUCAAUCUCAAAUACACUGUGCUGUGUCCUAAACACUUUCUAUAAAUGAAAAUGUGUAUCAAUCCAUGGUUCAAAAAUAGUCCCCAACAGAUGCACCGUCUCUGUUAUCAUUUGCUAUAAAAAAAAAAAAAUCACAC